AUUGAACGCUGGCGGCAGGCCUAACACAUGCAAGUAGAACGCAGUUGCGAACGGGUGAGUAACGCGUAGGUAACUGCCUCAUAGCGGGGGAUAACUAUUGGAAACGAUAGCUAAUACCGCAUACUGUGAGAUGGACCUGCGUUGUAUUAGCUAGUUGGUGAGGUAAAGGCUCACCAAGGCGACGAUACAUAGCCGACCUGAGAGGGUGUUGGGCCACACUGGGCUGGGUAACGGGCCAGACUCCUACGGGAGGCAGCAGGAGGGGAUUCUCCGGAAUUGAAGGAAAGCCGACCCAGGAACGGCGGGUGAGUUAAGGAGGUUUUCGGAACCUAAAGGUCUGUUGGUAGAGAAGCGGUAACUAACCAGAAAGGGACGGCUAACUACGUGCCAGCAGCCGCGGUAAUUC
rnacentral:rRNA from 1 species